UACGGGGGGGGCAAGCGUUGUUCGGAAUUACUGGGCGUAAAGGGCGCGUAGGCGGUUUGCUAAGUUGAAUGUGAAAACUCUGGGCUUAACCCAGAGCCUGCAUUCAAUACUGGCAGGCUAGAGUUCUGGAGGGGAUAGCGGAAUUCCUGGUGUAGCGGUGAAAUGCGUAGAUAUCAGGGGGAACACCGGUGGCGAAGGCGGCUAUCUGGACAGAGUCUGACGCUGAGGCGCGAAAGCUAGGGGAGCAAACAGG
rnacentral:rRNA from 1 species